UGCGCGCGAGUCACUGGGAUCAAGUCUAAACCCAGAGGCGCAGUGAAAGCGUGGGGCUCGCACGGCUAUAAAAAGCCGCUCGCGAGCCACUAAGGGAGGACGGCCGGUCGUUUCCCGAACGGUGCGGCCGGCCAGCACUCCCGGGGCGCCUCGGCUCCGGCCGCAGGCGCACCCGGAGCGCACACGUUGGGACCCGAAAGAUGGUGAACUAUGCCCGGCCAGGACGAAGUCAGGGGAAACCCUGAUGGAGGUCCGCAGCGAUUCUGACGUGCAAAUCGAUCGUCAGAGCUAGGUAUAGGGGCGAAAGACUAAUCGAACCAUCUAGUAGCU
rnacentral:rRNA from 1 species